GACGAACGCUGGCGGCGUGCUUAACACAUGCAAGUCGAACGGAGUGGCGAACGGGUGAGUAACACGUGGGUGACCUGCCCUGCACUUCGGGAUAAGCCUGGGAAACUGGGUCUAAUACCGGAUAGUGUGGGAUGGGCCCGCGGCCUAUCAGCUGGUUGGUGGGGUAAUGGCCUACCAAGGCGGCGACGGGUAGCCGGCCUGGGAGGGUGGACGGCCCCAUUGGGACUGAGACACGGGCCAGACUCCUACGGGGGGCAGCGGUGGAGGAUAUUGCGCAAUGGGCGGAAGCCUGAUGCAGCGCCGCCGCGUGGGGGGUGACGGCCUUCGGGUUGUAAACGCCUUUCACCAUCGACGCGGUAGGUGGAGAAGAAGCGCCGGCUAACUACGUGCCAGCAGCCGCGGUAAUAC
rnacentral:rRNA from 1 species